GAAGCAAAGCCAGACAUGCCAUCCACCAUCAUAAUCAUUCAUCCUCAUCGUCUCCAAUUUGCGAUGGCCUUCUCCGCCUCUCUCUUUUAUCCCUCUCCCAAUCUCUCCUCUACCAAAAUGCCCCCGUCUCCCCUCCUUUUCCGCAGACCCAGUUCCGUCUCUCUCCCUGUCCGCUGCUCCUCCGCCGCUGCUUCCUCCUCCUUCGAUCUACGCACCUACUGGACCACCCUGAUCUCCCAGAUCGAAGAGGCGCUCGACGCCGCCGUUCCCGUCCGAUACCCGGAGAGCAUCCACAAGGCGAUUCGCCACGUCGUUCUCUCCCCCGGAGCCAAGCGCGCGCCGCCCAUCAUGUGCAUCGCGUCCUGCGAGCUCGUCGGCGGCCUCCGCUCUGCUGCUUUUCCUGCAGCCUGCGCACUCGAGAUGGUCCACGCCGCCUCCCUCGUCCAUGAUGACCUACCCUGCAUGGACGCCUCCCCGCUCCGACGCGGCCAUCCCUCCGCCCACGCUCUGUUCGGGGUCGACAUGGCUAUCCUCGCCGGCGAUGCACUGUUUCCCCUCGCCUACCAGCAUAUCGUUACCCAUACCCCCUCGCCCGACCCCGUCCCGCUGUCCAUCAUCCCUCUCGUUCUCACGGAGAUCGCGCGCGCCGUCGGGUCCACCGGAAUGGCUGCUGGCCAAUUUCUCGACUUGUCAGGCGCCGCCGCUGGAAGUGAGAAGGAAAUUCUCCAGGUACUGGAGAAGAAAUUCGGAGAGAUGGCCGAGUGCUCGGCGGUAUGCGGGGGGCUGCUGGGCGGCGCUAGCGACCAGGAGCUCGAAGCACUCCGGCGUUAUGGUCGAGCGGUUGGGGUUCUCUACCAGCUGGUGGACGACGUGCUGAUGGAGUCCAACGGCGGCACAGGGAAGAUGAGGAGCAACGCGAGCAUCGUCAAGGCGGUUGGAAUGGACCGCUCAUUAGAGUUGGUGGAAGAAGUUAGGGCGAAGGCCAAGAAGGAGCUGGAUAAGUUCAAGGACAAAUAUGGAGAGAAGGUGCUACCUUUAUAUAGUUUUGUGGAUUACGCCAUCGAGAGGGGCUUCGUGGUUGAAGGUAGAGGCCUCGAAGCCUCUUCAGCUGCAGGUGCUAGUGUCGGAAGCAGUGAAACAUUUUCAAAGGGAGACUGAACUCUGCCCAUUUGUAGCAGCAUGAAGCUCCAUUCUUCUGUGAAAUGCUAUUUGGAGGUCUAGUAAGAGGAAGUCCUAGAGUUGAGCUCCUAGUAGGUGAAGUCCUCAUCAGAGGUUUAGCAAGGGAAGUGCUGAAGUGGAGGUCUAACAAGUGAAGUCCCAAAGGUGAGCCCUUGGCAGUUGAAGUCUCAACUAGAGGAUUGAAAUCCGAACGGGAGGUGUGACGAGUGGAGUCUUGAAGGCGGGUUCCUUGGAGGUAAAGUCUCGACUAGAGGCUUGACAAGUAAAAUUCCAAAGGUAAAGUUCUUGGUAAAUGAAGGACUGAAAUCCAGACCGGAGGUUUAGCAAGUGGUGUCUUGAAGGUGGGCUCCUUGCAAAUGAAAUCUCAACUGGAGCUCUGGCAAAGUUGAUGAUGAUCAUUCCAGAGGGAUACUAGCUUAAUGAACCUGGAUCGAACAAAACUCGAAGAUUGGAGGCUUAUCGAAGUGAACUGGAGGUAUAAAACACUAUCGGUUGAAGGAUAUAUGAGACGAGAGAGAUUUUUGGUAGGGGUUUUUUACUAACAUGUAGCCUAGGUCGAAGUCGAUGUGGUUGACUUUGUGAUCAAAUGAUGGCUUAUUGAUUGAGAAUAGAAGUGGUUUCUCUUUUGGUUUGAGUCAAUUCGAUGAUAGAAUCAGUUGACUGAAAGAGCCUCAUAUGUUUUAAUUCAACGAGAAUAGUCGUACUAACUUUAUCUCUAUAGAUAAAACAUGUUGGUGGAUCACUCUCGAAAUGUUGGUAACUUUCUCCUUAGUCAACUAUUGGAAGUAGAAAAACUUCUUACAAUACAAAAUUACAAAAUGUGAUUACUAGAGAAUGCUUAAGGUGUAUAAUAUGUUUUUUCCAAUUCUAUUUUGCUAACUUUGAAGCCUCCCCCAAACCCUGCUUUUAUAGCUUUCAAAAUCUCGUGAUAUAAUAUAAUAUGGAUGUCAAUGGGUUAGUUGUUGCCUCCUCAGCCUUAGUUAAUUGCCCCAUGAGUCGAAUGCUCCACCAUUUAACUAGAUUCCACUUCCCUUGACUGCUGUAGCCCUUUCGACAGGUGCAACCCUGAAACCUUGAAUUUUAGGGUUUUUGAUUUUACCCUUCUCACCAAUCUACUAAUGUCCAAUAUUACUCGACUAUCAUCUCAUUACAAUCAAUUCUAAAGUUGAGUCCGCUUACGAUGAAUUCUAGCGUCAUCGCCCCAUCUGUACAGAUCAUGUAACUCUCAUAGCUCACCUUGGCGUCUUACCAUUGCAGUUUAACUUCACCUUUUGGUCAUCUUUUGUUAGGUUAGGUUACUUUAUCCCUUAGAUGUGCACGAACUCUCAGCUUCUUCACUUGCCAUCGUUCAUGUCAUCGUCUUUGUAGUUGGCCUAAAUCGAUUGUUGUCCUCGUUGUUCUUCGAUGCUUCUUAACUUGCUGUCCCUUUGUCGCCUUGUGCAACCUUCUUUGAUCUUCAUACGUUGAGCCAUUGAGUGUGUCACCUUAGCCAUGUUAAGUCAUGAGCUUUGCAAGUUUUAGGUGUGUUCUUGUAAAUCCUUAUACACUCAAACAUACAUUAAAUCAUAAGAUAAAGGUCUAAUUUAAGUCCUUUGCUUAAAUAUCAAAAUAUUAGGUCACAUUGAACUAUUUGGGGUAUGAUUGCAUCAAAAGUUGAGAUUAUAGACAAGGGACCUUAGGGAUCUGAAAUCACCCAAAGCUAAGAUCUCUUCUUAAAGUGCUCAAAUCCUUUCUUCAAGGUCUUUUCUUGUAAGAAGGAGAAGGAGAAGAAGCAUAAGACGUUUCUCUACAUCCAUAUUCUUGUUGAGGAGAAAAGAUAGUGGAAGUUUAAGGGGUGAUCUAUCCAUGGAUCUGUCAAACCGUUAAUUAAUUGUGUUGAUUUGUCAUUGUUUAUUCUUCCUUUGAAUUUUCUUGUUUACAUUUUCCACUGCACUAACUCCUUGUAGAGACAAAAUCGAUUCAAAGCGAGAGCUUAUUCUCCCGAGUAUCUCUCAGUCCCAACAUAAAUUAGAGCUUGUGGAAGCUUGAGAAUGACGAGAGAGUUUGUAUUUUUAUCUUUUGUGCUAAAACACUUAGCUCUUUUGUGCUCUCAUUUGGAAUCUUCUUGAGUUUUACUUCCAUCAUUGUAAGAAGAUAUUGUAAGAGGUUAUCCACCUCUGAUUGUUUGCUAAGUUGGAGAAAUUUAAUGGUGCAUUGGAUGAGUGAUCGACUUGUAGAAUCAUAGGUUGAGUAGGAGUCUGAUACUGUCGAACCACAUUAAACACUCCUGUUGGUUUGUCUUGACUUUCUUAUUCAUUCUUGUUUUAUAUUUUGCAUAUAGUAGCUACGCAAACUAAUAUUGUAGAAAUAAGAUCGAGGUCAAAUGAUGGUUAUUCAUCCCCUCUAGCCUCUCUAAUGACCAAUAAGUCAUAUUAAAGCCCAACCACUUCUAUAGAGCUAAUCGCCAUGCGUACAAAAUUUCCGAGGAGAUGGCAGCUCAAGAGGGAUAUAGUACAGUGAGGCUUUGUUCUUUAACGACAUCAACUUUUACAUUUUGGAAAGGUAGAAUGAAAUAUUACUUAAAUAAUGACAAGUUUUUGAUAUUUAGUUUACUGUGAAGGAAGGCAUUAAGAUGAAGACAUCCUCGAGUCUAGUAAGUGGACAAUAGAUAUGAAGAAGAUGCAAGCCAAUACAAAAGCGAUGCUAACAUUGCAAUGUGGGUUGGCACAGGACCAACACACCAGAGUGGGAUCUUUCAAGAGCACCAAGCAACUUUGGGAGAAGGUAAUUGAGCUUCAUGAAAGUACUUGUGACUCUAAAAUAGUUUAAAAAAAAGAUUUAUUUUAAGUCAAAUGCAGAAGGGCACCAUGAAAGAAAGGGAAACUAUAAGUAAACUUCAUGAGAGGUUCAAGGAGAUCCUUGACUAACUCCAUUAUAAGUGGUGAAAGUUUGGAGAACCGUGAUUUCAUAAGGUAUUCUUUAAAAUUUUUCCAUGGUACAAUCUUGUGGUUAUUUAUGGUGGAUGCUUACAAGGUAUCUAGGAUCUUUCAAUGGUAAGGUUGAACUAGAGAAAGGUUUUAGAGCUAUAGUGGAUGCCUAUAAGCUAUUAAGGGAUCUUUCAACUGUAAGGUUGGAUGAGCUACUCUGUGAAUUUGAGUUUUAUGAGCAAGCUAAUCCUGUUCCAAAGAGAAGGGUUUGACUUUGAUUGCAUACGAAAAGAAGCUUAAAAAGAAGAAUGAGCUCUUGUUUGAAUCAGACAUGAAAUUGAGAGUGAGGUUGAUGUCUCCGCCAGUGAAAUGACCCAUUUUGUGAAAGGGAUGAUAAGAAAGAGUAAGAAAUUUGACAAAAGGGCGAAAAGAAGACAUUCAUUGAUGUUUAGAAGAAGGCUAUAUUUAAAUCCAAGUCUAGCAUAACAUGAUUUGAGUGUAAUAGGAAAGAUCACUACAAAUCGAAGUGCUUGGAACCACUUAAGCAACAAGAAAAGUCUAAGAAGUAAAAGGCUUUCAUAGCCACUUGGGAUGACUCUUCUUCAUUGGAAUCCUUCAAGGGGCCCUAACAUAUGACAUUCAAGGUCAAUGAUGAUGAAGUAGAAGAAUCAAGUGAUGACGAUGAAAUAUUAUCAUGUAAAUAGGAAUCAUCAUGAAACAACAAUGAGGUGACCUUAUAGAGAUUAAGAUCAAGGCUCUUCCCAAGUUGAAAAACUUGAGGAAGAGAGAAUGCAUUCUUAACAAGUGGAUGAGGUGAAGAAGAGCUUGGAACAGUACAUGUUGGGCUCCAAGUAUCUAGACAUAAUAUUGAAAACCAACAUACUAUAUGAAACAAGGUGGGUAUUAGCUAUGAGUCAAAGCAAAAGGAUGUAGCAAACAUUUCUCAUAUCGUUAGGAAUUUCUUCUUUAUGCCCAAUACUGCCACCAAGGGGUCUUUAGAACUAGAAUUGUGAAGGCUUUGUUACCUAAAUAACUUUUUGUUAACCCCUUCAAACUCAAUGUAUGGGUACCAAAAAAUUUAGUUUUCCAUAUUUUAAUAGGUACAAGCCAAGAAAGAACACUUUGAUAAAUGGUUGGUGGAUAGUGGGUGUUUAAGUCACCUUCGAGCAUAAGGAUAAGGAAAAUGUUUCCUCGAGCGUAAGGACAAGGUACCAUUGUGAUUUCAAUUUCAUUAUUAAGAAAGUGAUGUUGGUAAAGGGCAUGAAAUUAAUUUACUAAGUAUUAGUCAAUUGGGUGAUGGUGGAUACAAUGCCUAGUUUCAUUCAACCAAGUGCUUGGUAAAAUACAAUGAGCUAGAUAUACCAUAUUAGUAGGAGAUAGGAAUGAUAAUUUUUAUUGUAUCAAUCUUCCUUCUUAUUUGUGCCUAGUGUCUCGUGACUAAGAAAGAGAAAGCUUAGUCGUGGCACAAAAGAUUGACACACACUAACAUGGGACAGAUAGUAAAGGUGACCAAAAGAGAUUUGGUGAAAGGCUUACUGAGGAUUUGGUAUCAUAAGGGCAAAUUAUGUUGCUCAUGAUAAAAGGGUAAGCAAGCCAAGGCUAGUCAUGACAGUAUAAAUUUAGUUAAUACUUAAUACUACCCUGCCUCUUGAACUUUUACAUUUGGACUUAUUUGAUAGUCAUGAAAUAAUCUCCUUGAAUGGUAGUAGAUAUUGUUUUGUGCUAGUGGAUGAUGAUACUAGAUUUACAUGGGUUCACUUCAUGAAACAUAUGGAAGAUACUUUAGAAAUUCUAGUUAGUUUUUGUAAAAGGGUAGAGAAUAAGAUCUCAAGAUUAACUAAAUCUGAAGUGAUCAUUGUUUAGAAUCUGAAGUGAUCAGAUUCUCUACAAGAGAAAAUCUGAAGUGAUCAUUUUAAAAUAUUUUGCUAGGAAUAAGGUUAUGUAAGUUUUCUUGUCCUAGAAUACCUCAACAAAAUAGGAUAGUGAAGAGGAAAAUCAAACCGUACAAGUGGAGGCUAGGUAUAUGUUAAAUGAAUACUAGUUACCAUUGUGUCGAGAUGAUUAAUGUUGCUUGCUAUAUCCAAAAUAGGAUUUACCUACACAGGUUUUCAGAAAUGACUCCUUACAAACUUUGUUUAGAAAAGUUCCUGAAACUAAACAUCUUAGGAUGCUUGGUUGUAAUAUCUAUAUCCUAAAUACUAACAGUAAGGAUUAGUUAGAAUUUUUUUUACCAAGGCAGACGAAUGUAUACUACUGUACGAUCAGGAGCUGGAAGCAUUGCGGCACAUUAGAGUUGGUGGAAGAAAUUAGCCUGCAAAGGCCAAGGAGCUGGAGAAGUUCAAAGAUAAGUAUGGAGAGAAGGUACUGCCUUUAUAUAGUUCUUUGGAUUACGCUGUCGAGAGGCGCUUCGUGAUUGAAGGUAGAAGAGGUUUUGCAGCCUUUGCUGCUGCAGAUGGCAGUGAUGGAAGCAGCGAAACAUUUUCAAAGGGAGACUGAAUUCUAGCCAUUUGUAGCAGCACGAAAUUUCAUUCUCCUUUCUGAUGUCUUAAUCAGUCAGAAAACCUUGAGCUCUCCUGGAAAACUACUUGGAAGAUAGAGUUAACUAUGCCAGCCGUGGUUCGUGUUCAUGCGCAGCUUUAUGAACAAGUAUCUUCACAAAUUACAAGCUUGUUGACAUGAAGUAUAAGCUCCUGAAGGGACUAAUUAUAUGUACUCCUGAGUCCCUCUCCUUGUUCAGUUUUUAGCUUCUGAAUUCUAAAACAUAAUUAAGCCAGUCAAUAGCCUUAUCUGUAAGUACACUAACAAGCUUAUUUUAUUUAUAAGCGUUUGAGAUGUUCAAGACUUCUGAUUAUGUCUUUAUUA